rnacentral:rRNA from 1 species
AACGAACGCUGGCGGCAUGCCUAACACAUGCAAGUCGAACGAGACCUUCGGGUCUAGUGGCGCACGGGUGCGUAACGCGUGGGAACCCGCCCUUAGGUUCGGAAUAACUCCCCGAAAGGGGUGCUAAUACCGGAUAAUGUCUUCGGACCAAAGAUUUAUCGCCUUUGGAUGGGCCCGCGUUGGAUUAGCUAGUUGGUAGGGUAAAAGCCUACCAAGGCGACGAUCCAUAGCUGGUCUGAGAGGAUGAUCAGCCACACUGGGACUGAGACACGGCCCAGACUCCUACGGGAGGCAGCAGUGGGGAAUAUUGGACUGUGGGCGAAAGCCUGAUCCAGCAAUGCCGCGUGAGUGAUGAAGGCCUUAGGGUUGUAAAGCUCUUUUACCCGGGAUGAUAAUGACAGUACCGUGAGAAUAAGCUCCGGCUAACUCCGUG